UAAAAAUAAAAUAGAUUUUACUAUUUAAUAAUUUAACCAUAAAAAAAUCAAUUUUAUUUAUAGUAUAGUUUUUGAACUAAAAAAUUCUUCUAUAAAAGUAGUACUGUGAAGGAAUUUUUGUUUUUAAAUAUAAGUACCUAUAUUUAGGGUACCUUUUGUAUCAGGGGUUAUUAAAUUCUAAAAACAAUGUUUUUGUUUCUCGAAAUUUUAAGAUAAAAAACAUAAUUAAAUUUGGUGUUGUAAUACCAUUAUAAAUUAUGUUUUAGUAGAUAUAUUCUAUUCAAUUAAUAAUAUCUAGUUUUUGAAUAAAUGGGUUUAAUCCAUGAUUAAUAUAUAAUAAAAAUAAAUAUUUAUUAAUCUUAACCUAAUCAGGAUAAGCUGAUUAGGUAUUUUAUAAAAAAAAUAAUUUAGGAAAAAAAGUAGGUUUAAAAAUAUCCAUCAUUUAUUUUUUAAAAAUUAUUUAUCUCAAAUAAUUGAUUUUGUACAAUUUUAAGUGACUAUUUAAAUUAUAGGCAUAAUUUAUAUGCUAUUUAAUAAUGAUAACAUUAGUAUUUUAUACAAAUAAAAAUUAGUAAUUCGGCAUAUAUAAUUUUCACCUGUUUAACAAAAACAUGGUUUUUUGUUUAUAUAAAAGAUCUGGCCUGCCCCAUGAUAUAAUUAAAUGGCUGCAGUAUUUUGACUGUACAAAGGUAGCAUAAUCAUUUGUUUCUUAAUUGGAGACUGGUAUGAAUGGUUGGAUGAAAAAUUAACUUUCUUAUUUUUAUAAAAUGAAAUUAAUUUUUGUGUUAAAAAGCACAAAUGAUUGCGAAGGACGAGAAGACCCUAUAGAAUUUUAUUUAUUUAUUUGUACCUUUUUUGUGGUUUAUUGAAAAAGGUAUCUUUAAAAAAAUUAUGUUGGGGUGACAGAAAAAAUAUCAUAACUUUUUUUUAAUAUAUCAUAUAUGCAUGAAAAUAUGACCCUGUAUUAUGGGUUAUAAGAUUAAAUUACCUUAGGGAUAACAGCGUUAUUUUUUUGGAGAGUACUUAUCGAUAAAAAAGUUUGCGACCUCGAUGUUGGAUUAAAAUAAGAAGCAGGGGUAGAAUAUUGCUUUUCUAGGUCUGUUCGACCUAUAAAUUUUUACAUGAUCUGAGUUCAGACCGGCGUGAGCCAGGUUGGUUUCUAUCCUCUAUUAUUUUAAAAACUUUAGUACGAAAGGACCAAGUUUUUGGAAAAUUUUUUUAUUUGGAUUAUAUU
rnacentral:rRNA from 1 species